AUGCUGAGCUUGGUCGCUCCUGCUACAGGAUGGACUAAGUUGAACAUGGACGGAAGCUUUAUACCGGCUACAGGUAUGGCAGGGGGUGGGAUGAUCCUCCACGAUUCUCAGGGAAACAUCAUCUUCAACGCUUGCCGUGAACUCUGUACAUGUGGUAACGCGUUGGUCGCCGAGCUCGUGGUGUGUAGGGAGGGGCUGGAGCUAGCCCUCCACCGGACGAAGCUGCCAAUUUUGGUAGAACUAGAUAGUGCCGAGGCAGUGUCGCUGAUCAUAGCAAAAUCCGAUGAUAGAUCGGUACAUCGCUUUGUGAUCCAGGAGAUUAAGAGCUUGGCCUCAUCUGAGGAUAGGGAGAUUUCCUUUACUCUUUGUUGUCGUUCGCAGAAUAAGAUUAGCCAUGAGCUUGCCGCUUAUGGCCGUAGUACCCCCGAACCGCAGUGUGGUUGUACUCGGGGUUAG
rnacentral:rRNA from 1 species